GUCAUCCCCAAAUUUCUUAGAGAGGGACUUAGGGCUUUGCUAAGUUCCGUCGGCCACCCUUCGUACUAGCGAAGGUAACCACCGUUGAUGGUGGCCUGAAUGUUGCCCGAAGCCCGAUAUAACCCCCAUUUCUUUCAUAUAAAAUAGAUUUAGGGCCUUCAAAAUCCCUAAACCAAUUGACUUCCGACCUUUGACUUCUUCCGUUGCAACCUUAACCGAACACCUAAGGAUCCGUUGGCUUUUAGACCAGAGAAGCGAUAGUCGAAGAAUAUCGACACCAAAAAAAGGUCUGCUAGGAGUUAACGGGGGCAGGUUUCCGUUUUGGUCCAAGGAGCGGGUGGUGCGCUCGAGGCACGUGGGGGGAGCUGCGACGCUGGAGAAGGGAACCCUAGGGUUCCUCCGAAAAUGUUAAGUUUUCAGGCUGGGCUCAGAGUUUGCAAAAUUGGGUAGUGAGUUUUGAGUCCAUGCUUGUAACUUGGGUAUCGGGCCUGUAGCCUGUUUUGUAAUUUGGACCUUGUACUAAUGGACUUUUGUUAUUUUUUUUUGGAUUUUUGUUUUUGUUGAUUUAAGCUCGGGCCGGGCAAAAUAAGCCUAUUACAAUAUAAAUAUAAAA